rnacentral:rRNA from 1 species
GUGAGGUAAUGGCUCACCAAGGCUUACGAUCCGUAACUUGGUCUGAGAGGAUGAUCAGUCACACUGGAACUUGAGACACGGUCCAGACUCCUACGGGAGGCAGCAGUGGGGAAUAUUGGACAAUGGGCGAAAGCCUUGAUCCAAGCCAUGCCGCGUGUGUGAAGAAGGUCUUCGGAUUGUAAAGCACUUUAAGUUGGGAGGAAGGGUACUUACCUUAAUACGUGAGUAUUUUGACGUUACCGACAGAAUAAGCACCGGCUAACUCUGUGCCAGCAGCCGCGGUAAUACAGAGGGUGCAAGCGUUAAUCGGAAUUACUGGGCGUAAAGCGCGCGUAGGUGGUUUGUUAAGUUGGAUGUGAAAGCCCCGGGCUCAACCUGGGAACUGCAUCCAAAACUGGCAAGCUAGAGUAUGGUAGAGGGUGGUGGAAUUUCCUGUGUAGCGGUGAAAUGCGUAGAUAUAGGAAGGAACACCAGUGCGAAGCGACCACCUGGACUGAUAC